rnacentral:rRNA from 1 species
CAAAGGAAGCGAUUCCGGCAACGGAUGGGCAUGCGUGACAUUAGCUAGUUGGCGGGGCAACGGCCCACCAAGGCGACGAUGUCUAGGGGUUCUGAGAGGAAGGUCCCCCACACUGGUACUGAGACACGGACCAGACUCCUACGGGAGGCAGCAGUGAGGGAUAUUGGUCAAUGGGCGCGAGCCUGAACCAGCCAAGUCGCGUGAGGGAUGACGGCCCUACGGGUUGUAAACCUCUUUUGUCGGGGAGCAAAUUCCGCCACGCGUGGCGGAGUCGAGAGUACCCGAAGAAAAAGCAUCGGCUAACUCCGUGCCAGCAGCCGCGGUAAUACGGAGGAUGCGAGCGUUAUCCGGAUUUAUUGGGUUUAAAGGGUGCGUAGGCGGACUGUCAAGUCAGCGGUAAAAUACGGGGGCUCAACCUCCGCCCGCCGUUGAAACUGACGGUCUUGAGUGGGCGAGAAGUAUGCGGAAUGCGUGGUGUAGCGGUGAAAUGCAUAGAUAUCACGCAGAACUCCGAUUGCGAAGGCAGCAUACCGGCGCCCAACUGACGCUGAAGCACGAAAGCGUGGGUAUCGAACAGGAUUAGAUACCCUGGUAGUCCACGCAGUAAACGAUGAAUGCUAGCUGUCCGGGGCGAAUGGGCCCUGG